UUAUCGGAGAGUUUGAUCCUGGCUCAGGACGAACGCUGGCGGCGUGCCUAAUACAUGCAAGUCGAGCGGAGAGAUGGGAGCUUGCUCCCUGAUGUUAGCGGCGGACGGGUGAGUAACACGUGGGUAACCUGCCU
rnacentral:rRNA from 1 species